CUACGGAGGGUGCAAGCGUUAUUCGGAAUCACUGGGCGUAAAGGGUGCGUAGGCGGUUUGAUAAGUCUGAUGUGAAAUCCUAUGGCUCAACCAUAGAACUGCAUUGGAAACUGUCAGACUAGAAUACUGAAGGGGCAGAUGGAAUUAGUGGUGUAGGGGUAAAAUCCGUAGAUAUCACUAGGAAUACCGAAGGCGAAAGCGAUCUGCUGGGAAGUUAUUGACGCUGAGGCACGAAAGCGUGGGGAGCAAACGGGAUUAGAUACCCUAGUAGUCC
rnacentral:rRNA from 1 species